rnacentral:rRNA from 1 species
UACAGGGGGGGCAAGCGUUGUUCGGAAUUACUGGGCGUAAAGGGCUCGUAGGCGGCCAACUAAGUCACACGUGAAAUCCCCAGGCUUAACCUGGGAACUGCGUGUGAUACUGGAAGGCUUGAGUAUGGGAGAGGGAUGUAGAAUUCCAGGUGUAGCGGUGAAAUGCGUAGAUAUCUGGAGGAAUACCGGUGGCGAAGGCGGCAUCCUGGACCAUUACUGACGCUGAGGCGCGAAAGCUAGGGGAGCAAACGGG